rnacentral:rRNA from 1 species
UACGGGAGGCAGCAGUGGGGAAUAUUGCACAAUGGGCGCAAGCCUGAUGCAGCCAUGCCGCGUGUAUGAAGUAAGGCCUUCGGGUUGUAAAGUACUUUCAGUCAGUGAGGAAGGCGGGUACGUUAAUAGCGUGCUCGUUUGACGUUAGCUGCAGAAGAAGCACCGGCUAACUCCGUGCCAGCAGCCGCGGUAAUACGGAGGGUGCGAGCGUUAAUCGGAAUUACUGGGCGUAAAGCGCAUGCAGGUGGUUUGUUAAGUCAGAUGUGAAAGCCCGGGGCUCAACCUCGGAAUUGCAUUUGAAACUGGCAGACUAGAGUACUGUAGAGGGGGUAGAAUUUCAGGUGUAGCGGUGAAAUGCGUAGAGAUCUGAAGGAAUACCGGUGGCGAAGGCGGCCCCCUGGACAGAUACUGACACUCAGAUGCGAAAGCGUGGGGAGCAAACAGGAUUAGAUACCCUGGUAG